ensembl:lncRNA
GGUUUGCGGUGCUGUUCUAUAACCUCAAGCAGGAAGUUUUAGAGUGACACUUGAAGAUUUGCUUUUUCUCCUCGUUGUCCUAUUCUGAGGAAGAAUAGACUAAGGUGAGAAAGCGACAGGAGAUGGGAAAGUUUACGCAGAAGACUGGACCGAGGACAGAGAGAAUGGACACUUGGCAGUGCGCAGAAAUCUGAGAGCUCAUCAAUCACUCUGUAACGUUAUGUAAUGGAGCUCUGCUGGAGAGGGUGGAGACCAACACGAACAGCUGCGGCCGAUCUGAGCACGCUAAGCAAGAUUUGAGAUGAAGGGGAGAACAGCUGGGACGUCUGAAGCCAAAGGAAGAGUGUGGGAGGUGGUGUAAAAUGAAAGUUAAGCAUUGUGGGU